rnacentral:rRNA from 1 species
AGUGAACGCUGGCGGUAGGCCUAACACAUGCCAGUCGAACGGCAGCACAGUAAGAGCUUGCUCUUACGGGUGGCGAGUGGCGGACGGGUGAGGAAUACAUCGGAAUCUACUUUUUCGUGGGGGAUAACGUAGGGAAACUUACGCUAAUACCGCAUGCGACCUACGGGUGAAAGCAGGGGAUCUUCGGACCUUGCGCGAUUGAAUGAGCCGAUGUCGGAUUAGCUAGUUGGCGGGGUAAAGGCCCACCAAGGCGACGAUCCGUAGCUGGUCUGAGAGGAUGAUCAGCCACACUGGAACUGAGACACGGUCCAGACUCCUACGGGAGGCAGCAGUGGGGAAUAUUGGACAAUGGGCGCAAGCCUGAUCCAGCCAUACCGCGUGGGUGAAGAAGGCCUUCGGGUUGUAAAGCCCUUUUGUUGGGAAAGAAAAGCAGCAGGUUAAUACCCCGCUGUUCUGACGGUACCCAAAGAAUAAGCACCGGCUAACUUCGUG